rnacentral:rRNA from 1 species
UACAGAGGUCCCAAGCGUUGUUCGGAUUCACUGGGCGUAAAGGGUGCGUAGGCGGUCGGGUAAGUCUGACGUGAAAUCUCCAAGCCUAACUUGGAAACUGCGUUGGGUACUCUCCGGCUAGAGGAAUGGAGGGGAGACUGGAAUACUUGGUGUAGCAGUGAAAUGCGUAGAUAUCAAGUGGAACACCAGUGGCGAAGGCGAGUCUCUGGACAUUUCCUGACGCUGAGGCACGAAAGCCAGGGGAGCAAACGGG